CGGCCCGGGCGCCAGUCGCUCGCAACACGCGGUCGGCGCAGGUCGCGUUUAUUCGUUUCGCGCCGCGCUCUCUACGCCGCCCGCCCUAAGUCACGGUGUCGCGAUCGGGUGCACUCCCUCACACCCUGCAACGGUAUUGGCGCACUAGGCGGCCUGCACACAUGCACUUUUCAUUCAUCCCGGAGGCGGCCGCGGGUCGGGAUCGCUUCGCUCUUGGUUCCGUCUUAUCAAUCGCCGUACGUCUUUAUGAGGCAGUGACCCUGAAGCUGAAGCGACUUGUGUAGUAUCGAAGUGAUCUACCCGAACUGAUUGUGGUCAAGUGAACUAUUGAAAACAAUACCUUCUCUAACUGUAAAAUAAUAUUGUGAGAAGUUUCAACCGACGAUUUUGAAAAUUCAGCG